rnacentral:rRNA from 1 species
CUUAACCACACCCCCACGGGAAACAGCAGUGACAAAAAUUAAGCCAUAAACGAAAGUUUGACUAAGUUAUAUUAAUUAGGGUUGGUAAAUCUCGUGCCAGCCACCGCGGUCAUACGAUUAACCCAAGCUAACAGGAGUACGGCGUAAAACGUGUUAAAGCACCAUACCAAAUAGGGUUAAAUUCUAACUAAGCUGUAAAAAGCCAUGAUUAAAAUAAAAAUAAAUGACGAAAGUGACCCUACAAUACCGACGCACUAUAGCUAAGACCCAAAACUGGGAUUUAGAUACCCCACUAUGCUUAGCCCUAAACACAGAUAAUUACAUAAACAAAUUAUUUCGCCAGAGUACUACUAGCAACAGCUUAAAACUCAAAGGACUUGCGGUGCUUUAUAUCCUUUAGAGGAGCCUGUUCUAUAAUCGAUAAACCCCGAUAAACCUCACCAAUUCUUGCUAAUACAGUCUAUAUACCGCCAUCUU